GGGGUCACAAGCCAACUUUGAUAUCAAUAAUUAAUCCCUUCACGUUAAACUAAUUCAAAAUAUGCAUCUCAUCUCCUUUCAUUUUACUCUUUUCUUUCUUAUCUUCAUAAUUGGAGUUUCUGUUGCUGCCACUGCUGGUGACAAGAAAUUGGUCUCUCCUGAAAUGCCUACCGGACCUAAUAAUGGCCAAGGCGGCGGCUCUUCUGGGGUUACUGGUUCCGGCCAUGGCCCCAACUGGGACUACACUUGGGGCUGGGGGUCGAGUCCCGGCAGCGGAUGGGGUUAUGGUUCCGGUUCAGGCCGGUCAGCAAAUGGAUUUGGCAGGGGUUUUGGGUUUGGGUUUGGGUCUGGAAGUGGGUCAGGAUCGGGAUCGGGAUAUGGUUAUGGGUCUGGAAGUGGUGGUGCACGCGGCGGUGGGUAUGGGGCUGGAAUUGGGUCAGGUAACUCUGGUGGUGGCGGCGCUGGUGGAGGAAGCGGGGGGGCAGGUGGCAGUUACUCGCCGGUUGAUUCCAGGGGGAAAAACAACCUUGGUUGAUACAGAAAGCAUGAAGUUCGAUUCUAUCGAUACAGUGUGCAUGGUGUGCAAGUGUGAGCUUGAAAUAUUAAGCUCAGAAUUAUAUAUAGCUUAUAUAGUUUGAGUUUGGGUUGUAUCAUCAUCAUGUAUGUUUUCUUAGUGGCUUAACUACGUUUGCUUCUCUACUAUGAAAAGGUUUCCCUAUGCUACUCUCUUACUUCCAUCCUCCACUCAAUCUCAUGAGCAUCUAUAAAGUUUAUUGACUACUGUUUCUUAUCUCCAGCCAUAUGCUAAGAAUUACUUUGCUAUUAUCGUGAAGAAGCCAACUGAUAGAGGAUCUUGAAGACUUUGAUUUUCAAGUGCAAGUAUCUAGUAGAAAUGACAAUUUCAAGUACGACUGUUGUGGCUAAUCAUUUUAACGAAAAGACAGCCAUAUGAAACCUCAAUAUUACUAUACAUGUAUAACGAUGGUUUCUAAGAGAUUGAUGAAGAAAAUUGAAAACGACAGUACGCUAAAUCACAAAACGCAGUUGGUAUGGCUAUGGGGCUGGGCGCCUGUGCUCUGCCAUUUGGUUGUGUUACAUAGAACUCCUGCUCCUGCACUACAAACAAUUGACUUUCUCAGAGUCACGCGACUCAAGUACAAUCAUGAUAACCCUUGAAUGAUAAAAAAUACAAUCAUAUAUUCAAAUAAUAAUAGUAAUAAAAUUUAUUAUUUUAAACGUGCGUGGUAAUAGCGUUGUUUCCAACCAUAUUGGCAUUAUGAUUUUG
rnacentral:misc_RNA from 1 species